rnacentral:rRNA from 1 species
GCUCGAACUACUGUAAAGCAUUAAGUACCUGUACCGUAAACCGACACAGGUGGGUUGGUAGAGUAUACCAAGGGGCGCGAGAUAACUCUCUCUAAGGAACUCGGCAAAAUGACCCCGUAACUUCGGGAGAAGGGGUGCCAAGUAACUUAAAUUGCUUGGUCGCAGUGACCAGGCCCUGGCGACUGUUUAUCAAAAACACAGGUCUCCGCAAAGUCGUAAGACAACAUAUGGGGGCUGACGCCUGCCCAGUGCCGGAAGGUUAAAGAAGUUGGUUAUUCAUUUUUGGAGAAGCUGACGACUGAAGCCCCGGUGAACGGCGGCCGUAACAAUAACGGUCCUAAGGUAGCGAAAUUCCUUGUCGGGUAAGUUCCGACCCGCACGAAAGGCGUAACGAUCAGGGCACUGUCUCGGAGAGAGACUCGGUGAAAUAGACAUGUCUGUGAAGAUGCGGACUACCUGCACCUGGACAGAAAGACCCUAUGAAGCUUGACUGUAGCUUGGAAUUGGGUUCGGGCUCUUCUUGCGCAGCCUAGGUGGGAGGCGUUGAAAGCUUUCUUUUGGGAAAGCUGGAGCCAUCAGUGAGAGACCACUCUGGAGGAGCUAGAAUUCUAAUGGCGUUCCUUGAAGCAGGACGCUUGACAGUUUCAGGUGGGCAGUUUGACUGGGGCGGUCACCUCCUAAAAGGUAACGGAGGUGUGCAAAGGUUCCCUCAGGCUGGACGGAAAUCAGCCGUAGAGUGUAAAGGCAGAAGGGAGCUUGACUGCAAGACCUACAAGUCGAGCAGGGGCGAAAGCCGGCCUUAGUGAUCCGACGGUUCCAUGUGGAAGGGCCGUCGCUCAACGGAUAAAAGUUACUCUAGGAUAACAGGCUGAUCUUCCCCAAGAGUUCACAUCGACGGGAAGGUUUGGCACCUCGAUGUCGGCUCAUCGCAACCUGGGGCGGUAGUACGUCCCAAGGGUUGGGCUGUUCGCCCAUGAAAGCGGUACGUGAGCUGGGUUCAGAACGUCGUGAGACAGUUCGGUCCAUAUCCGGUGUAGGCGCUAGAGCAUUGAGAGGAGCCUUCCAUAGUACGAGAGGACCUGGAAGGACGCACCUCUGGUAUACCAGUUAUCAUGCCAAUGGUACACGCUGGGUAGCCAUGUGCGGAGUGGAUAACCGCUGAAAGCAUCUAAGUGGGAAGCCCACCUCAAGAUGAGUGCUCUCCAUUAGGUCACAGGAAGACAACCUGUUUGAUAGGCAGAAGGUGUAAGGCCAGUAAUGGUUUCAGCUGAUCUGUACUAAUAGACC